rnacentral:lncRNA from 1 species
CUUAAAUGUUUAUCCAGAUAUUUGCUGUACUUUUGGAAAUUAAGGGAGGAGCCUGUAACUCUCCUUGCAUAAAACAAGAGCCUGACUUGUGUGAAAAAGUGAUAAGAAGAUAUUCAGUAGAGAUCUGCGGGGAAGUCUCAGAGCAGAGGUCCAGAAUAAGAGUUUACUCUUCAACUCUGCCAGACUCAAGAGAGGCCAUUCGCUUUGCUGUGGCCGAUGAAAUGGGAGCAGCAAAAACAUUUAUCAUUUCUGGGAACCAGUGUACUGUUCUCCAUGUCUCCCUUCUCUCACCCUGGACCUGAUAAUAUUCCAGCUGGUUGCUGCUCCAUCAUCCUGGAACCUACAAGUUUGGGGAGGGCGUCAAAGCCAGAGGCAACUUUCAUUCAACAUGUUAUGUGAGUGUGAUGGUUAAUUUUAUGUGUCAACUUGACUGGAUCAUGGAGUGGCCAGAUAUUUCACUAAGCUUUUCUGGGUUUGUGUGAUGAUGUUUCCAGAUGAGAUUUGCAUUUGAGUCAGUGGACUCCAUAAGAUAGAUUGCCCUUCCCUGAAUGGAAGUGUAUUAGCCAAUUUGCUGAGAGCCUGAACAGAACAAAAGAUGGAGAAAGGAGAAUUCACCUCCUCUGCCUGACUGAUUGAGCUGGGAUAUCAGUCUCCUUCUGCCCUCAAACUGAGACUUAAACCAUCAGCUCCACUGGUUCUCAGGCCUUGGGUCCGAAACCAAACUACACUACCAGCUUUCCUGGGUCUGCAGCUUGCAGAUGGCAGAGCAUGGGACUUCUUAGCCUUCAUAAUCAAGCGAGCUAAUUCCUCAUAAUUAGUCCAUCUGUGUUAGUCCAUUCUCACACUGCUAUGGAGAAAUACCCGAGACUAGGUAAUUUAUAAAGAAAAGCGGUUUAAUUGACUCACAGUUGUGUAUUGCUGGGGAGGCCACAGGUAACUUACAAUCAUGGCGCAAGGUAAAGGAGAAGCAGGCACCUUCUUCACAAGGGUGGCAGGAUAGAGUGCAAGCUGGGGAAAUGCCAGAUGCUUAUAAAACCAUG